AAAAACAAUCAGCUGACCACAUCAGUGCUGGGGAACCUGAUUCCUGAGGUCCACCGCCAAUUCCCCAAGUCCAUGCCCAUAACGAUGAAGGCUCGGAUCAAUGCUUCACCCGUCCCUACGAUCCACAGAAACAGAACAUCAUUAUUACUCAAUUACCGUACAGAGGUCUUGGCUAUCUCCUCUAACUCAGCCUUCAAGUCCCUCUUUUCUCUGGAUAUGGUUGUGGAACUGAAGCUCAACAUCAUUAUGUCUGGAAAGAAGCUGCAGGCUAAUGUAUCAUUCCUGAAGUAAGGAACAGCUCCUGCAACCUCAUGGGUGUAAGGCAAAGGUAGCCAGGAUUGCCUAGAGCCUAAUGAGCUCCUGGAAAGAACACAGGAUUUGGAAUAAAAGAAGCUGUCUUCAAAUCUUGUCUCCUCUA
rnacentral:lncRNA from 1 species